AUUGAACGCUGGCGGCAGGCCUAACACAUGCAAGUCGAGCGAGCGGCGGACGGGUGAGUAAUGUAUGGGGACUGCCCGAUAGAGGGGGGUAAAUACUGGAAACGGUAGCUAAUACCGCAUACUAUCGGAUAACCCAUAUGGGAUUAGCUAGUAGGUUGGGUAAUGUCUCCCCUAGGCGACGAUCCCUAGCUGGUCUGAGAGGAUGAUCAGCCACACUGGGACUGAGACACGGCCCAGACUCCUACGGAGGCAGCAGUGGGGAAUAUUGCGCAAUGGGCGCAAGCCUGAUGCAGCCAUGCCGCGUGUAUGAAGAAGGCCCUAGGGUUGUAAAGUACUUUCAGUCGGGAGGCGUUACCGACAGAAGAAGCACCGGCUAACUCCGUGCCAGCAGCCGCGGUAAUAC
rnacentral:rRNA from 1 species